UCUUCACUUUUCUUUUUUUCUUUUUAUCUGGCACUUCGUCUGGAGCCUUCUUCUCUUAUCUUCACUUCUCUUUUUUCUUUUCUUCUCCUUCUCUUCUCUAUCCCUUCGUCUGGAGCACUAUCUUCAAUCUCCACUUUUUUUUUUCUUUUCUUCUCUAACACUACGUCUACUCCAAAGCAUUCAAGAAGCACCACUGCAUGUCCUCCUCCCACCGAGGCUCAGAUGGGUUUCGGUGUUUGGUGGUGGUGCUGGGUUUGGCGGUUGGGUGGUUAUUUUCUGCUUCCUUUUUCUUAUUCUGCCGCGCUGGGUUGUUGUAGACGUUGGGAGAGGGUAUUUGCUGUAAAAGUGCUUUCACAGCACUUUUCUCUCCAGAUUUUCCUCCUAAUUUGGGAGGAUGAAAAUUGUGGGCCCGGGAGAGAAAAUUUUCUCCCGGGUUUUCCUUCCUUCCCAUUUUCCUUUUAUUGCCAAACAGUGGAAAACACUGUUUUCUACCCUAUUUUCCUCCCUAUGCUUUCCAUCCUCCCUAUUUUCACCCCAACCAAACACAGUGUAAAGGAAAGCUGGUUAUCAACACAAAAGCGAAAACAUGAAGCAAAAAGUAUGCCAUAUUGAUGACCAAGAUGCUUGUAUCAUAAGCAUACUUGUUCCUAGAUAAUGAAACUACCCAUAUAGAGCAUGUUGGCAGCAAUAGUUACAAUGGAAUGGAUGUUCGCAAGAUGUGCACCAAUUUAACAAUUUUGUGCACCAAUUUUGUACAUUAACCACAAGGUACAUGCUGCUACAGUGCUACGUUUUCCCAAUUAUUGAGGAAUCAUAAGAUCUGACUAUAAUCAUUGCAAAA